UGAUGACGACGACAAUGAUGAUGAUGAUGAUGAUGAUGAUGAUGAUGAUAAUGAGGAUCAUCAUCCUCAUCACUAUAAUUAUUAUCAUUAUAAUCA
rnacentral:pre_miRNA from 1 species